UACAGAGGGUGCAAGCGUUGUUCGGAAUUAUUGGGCGUAAAGGGCGCGUAGGCGGUUCGGCAAGUCUCUAGUGAAAUCUCUGGGCUCAACUCAGAGUCUGCUGGGGAAACUGCCGGGCUUGAGUGUGGGAGAGGAGAGUGGAAUUCCCGGUGUAGCGGUGAAAUGCGUAGAUAUCGGGGAGGAACACCUGUGGCGAAAGCGGCUCUCUGGACAUUAACUGACGCUGAGGAGCGAAAGCAUGGGGGAGCGAACAGG
rnacentral:rRNA from 1 species